ACUCCUACGGGAGGCAGCAGUAGGGAAUCUUCCGCAAUGGACGAAAGUCUGACGGAGCAACGCCGCGUGAGUGACGAAGGUUUUCGGAUCGUAAAACUCUGUUGUGAGGGAAGAACAAGUGCCACGUAACUACUGGCACCUUGACGGUACCUCACCAGAAAGCCACGGCUAACUACGUGCCAGCAGCCGCGGUAAUACGUAGGUGGCAAGCGUUGUCCGGAAUUAUUGGGCGUAAAGCGCGCGCAGGCGGUCCCUUAAGUCUGAUGUGAAAGCCCACGGCUCAACCGUGGAGGGUCAUUGGAAACUGGAGGACUUGAGUGCAGAAGAGGAAAGUGGAAUUCCAUGUGUAGCGGUGAAAUGCGUAGAGAUGUGGAGGA
rnacentral:rRNA from 1 species